CCUACGGGAGGCAGCAGUGGGGAAUCUUGGGCAAUGGGCGCAAGCCUGACCCAGCAACGCCGCGUGAAGGAAGAAGGCUUUCGGGUUGUAAACUUCUUUUUAAAGGGAAGAGCAGAUGACGGUACCUCUUGUAUAAGCUACGGCUAACUCCGUGCCAGCAGCCGCGGUAAUACGUGGGUGGCAAGCGUUGUCCGGAUUUACUGGGUGUAAAGGGCGUGGAGCUGGGAAGACAAGUCAGAUGUGAAAUCCCGCGGCUCAACCGCGGUACUGCAUUUGAAACUGUUUGUCUUGAGUACCGGAGAGGUGAGCGGAAUUCCUGGUGUAGCGGUGAAAUGCGGAGAUAUAAGGAAGAACACCGGUGGCGAAGGCGGAUGACUGGACUGCAACUGACGGUGAGGCGCGAAAGCGUGGGGAGCAAACAGGAUUAGAUACCCGAGUAGUC
rnacentral:rRNA from 1 species